GCGUCCUUAGCUCAAUUGGAUAGAGCACCUGACUUCGGAUCAGGCGGUUAAGGGUUCGAGUCCUUUAGGGCGCG
rnacentral:tRNA from 1 species